rnacentral:rRNA from 1 species
CAAGUCGAGCGAGAUUCUUAGCAAUAAGAUGAAAGCGGCAAAAUGGAUAGUAACACGUGGAUACAUACCCUUGGGUCUGGGAUAGCGGCGGGAAACUGCCGGUAAUACCAGAUAAUGUCUUCGGACCAAAGAUUUAUUGCCCGAGGAGUGGUCCGCGUCCUAUUAGGUAGUUGGCGGGGUAAAGGCCCACCAAGCCGAAGAUGGGUAGCGGGUGUGAGAGCAUGGCCCGCAUCACUGGGACUGAGACACUGCCCAGACACCUACGGGUGGCUGCAGUCGCGAAUCUUCCACAAUGGACGAAAGUCUGAUGGAGCGACGCCGCGUGCGGGAUGAAGGCCUUCGGGUUGUAAACCGCUGUCGAGGGGAAUCAAAUUUUGAGUGAUCCCUGGAGGAAGCACCGGCUAAACUCGUGCCAGCAGCCGCGGUAAUACGAGUGGUGCAAACGUUGUUCGGAAUUACUGGGCUUAAAGGGUGCGUAGGCGGCCAUGUAGGUCUGAUGUGAAAUACCACGGCUCAACCGUGGAACUGCGUUGGAUACCGCAUGGCUGGAGUGAGACAGAGGUAAGCGGAACUGAUGGUGGAGCGGUGAAAUGCGUUGAUAUCAUCAGGAACACCGGUGGCGAAAGCGGCUUACUGGGUCUUUACUGACGCUGAUGCACGAAAGCUAGGGGAGCAAACGGGAUUAGAUACCCCGGUAGUCCUAGCUGUAAACGAUGAGUACUAGUCCGUGGGGACCCCCACAUCCUCUCGGACGUACCGAAAGUGUUAAGACUCCGCCUGGGAGUAUGGGCGCAAGCCUAAAACUCUAGG